rnacentral:rRNA from 1 species
UCCAGACUCCUACGGGAGGCAGCAGUGAGGAAUAUUGGUCAAUGGGCGCGAGCCUGAACCAGCCAAGUCGCGUGAGGGAGGACGGCCCUACGGGUUGUAAACCUCUUUUGCCGGGGAGCAACGGGCGUCACGUGUGGCGCCACUGAGAGUACCCGGAGAAAAAGCAUCGGCUAACUCCGUGCCAGCAGCCGCGGUAAUACGGAGGAUGCGAGCGUUAUCCGGAUUUAUUGGGUUUAAAGGGUGCGUAGGCGGGACGGUAAGUCAGCGGAAAAAAUGCGGAGCUCAACUCCGUCGAGCCGUUGAAACUGCCGUUCUUGAGUGAGCGAGAAGUAUGCGGAAUGCGUGGUGUAGCGGUGAAAUGCUUAGAUAUCACGAAGAACUCCGAUUGCGAAGGCAGCUUACUAAACUGCCACUGACAUUGAUGCUCGAAAGUGUGGGUAUCAAACAGGAUUAGAUACCCCGGUA